GGUGGUUCUCGGGCAAUGUACCCCAGAAUCAGGCUCCCUCCUCUCUGGUUCCAGGUGUAUCACCUGAGAACUGCA
rfam:Myotis lucifugus cont2.18960, whole genome shotgun sequence.